CCGGUGGCAAAAUCAGAAUUUUGGUUCACGAGGCCAAGAGACAUAAAAUGAAGUAGCUCUGUGCCGUAAAGUAAAUUAUAGAUACGUACAGAAAAGGAUCCUUGUGCAUCAAGGAUUCAAGAGCAUGGAACACUGGAAUCAAACUGUGAUGAUUAAACAAUUGUGUGGCACAUCUAUAAGACUCUUGGAACUUGACAGCACUUAAAUCCACGUGCACUGAGGGUGACAUUUUGGAAGACCUGACAAGCGAGCCUAAUAAGAAUAUGUACAUGUUGACGGUGGACCUUGAAGAUGCAUCAAGUGUGCUGUACCAGA